UACAGAGGUCCCAAGCGUUGUUCGGAUUCACUGGGCGUAAAGGGUGCGUAGGUGGCGCGGUAAGUCGGAUGUGAAAGCUCGGAGCUCAACUCCGAAAUGGCAUUGGAAACUACCUUGCUCGAGGGUCGGAGGGGGGACUGGAAUACUUGGUGUAGCAGUGAAAUGCGUAGAUAUCAAGUGGAACACCAGUGGCGAAGGCGAGUCCCUGGACGACUCCUGACACUGAGGCACGAAAGCUAGGGGAGCAAACAGG
rnacentral:rRNA from 1 species